rnacentral:misc_RNA from 1 species
UGGGAGCCCAUUCGGGGGGUUUGGGAGUUCCGGAGGAUCUGGUAACUUGAUGUCCAGCUUCUUUGGUGGGAGAGAUCCGUUUGAUGAUCCUUUCUUUACUCAACCUUUCGGCGGUAUGACUGCCCCUGGCAUGCUAGGACGUAGUAUGUUUGGCCAGGGCAUGCUGGGGCCUAGUAUGUUUGGCCAGAGCAUGUUAGGGCCUAGCA